rnacentral:rRNA from 1 species
UCCAGACUCCUACGGGAGGCAGCAGUGGGGAAUAUUGCACAAUGGGGGGAACCCUGAUGCAGCGACGCCGCGUGAGUGAAGAAGUAUUUCGGUAUGUAAAGCUCUCUCAGCAGGAAAGAAAAUGACGGUACCUGACUAAGAAGCCCCGGCUAACUACGUGCCAGCAGCCGCGGUAAUACGUAGGGGGCAAGCGUUAUCCGGAUUUACUGGGUGUAAAGGGAGCGUAGACGGUGAAGCAAGUCUGAAGUGAAAGGCGGGGGCUCAACCCCCGGACUGCUUUGGAAACUGUUUGACUGGAGUGCAGGAGAGGUAAGUGGAAUUCCUAGUGUAGCGGUGAAAUGCGUAGAUAUUAGGAGGAACACCAGUGGCGAAGGCGGCUUACUGGACUGUAACUGACGUUGAGGCUCGAAAGCGUGGGGAGCAAACAGGAUUAGAUACCCCAGUA